AGGAGAAGUCGUAACAAGGUUUCCGUAGGUGAACCUGCGGAAGGAUCAUUGUCGAAACCUAACGGUAGAACGACCCGCGAAUCGUCUCAGCGUACUGAACAGAGCUCGCGGGCGCAAAACGCCCGCGCGUCUCGCGUCGCGUCGGUGCGGGCCUUCUCGAAAGGCCGGUGCCGCCCAGACGAACGAACAAAGUCAGCACGGAUCGUGCCAAGGAGGUGUAAAAGGCGAGAAUCGUCGUCCCACGGCCACGGUCCUCCUGGACGGGGGGCGGGGGACAUGCGCGAUCUCUGCUCUUAGUCUUAAUGACUCUCGGCAACGGAUAUCUCGGCCCUUGCAUCGAUGAAGAACGUAGCGAAAUGCGAUACUUGGUGUGAAUUGCAGAAUCCCGCGAACCAUCAAAUCUUUGAACGCAAGUUGCGCCCGAAGCCAUUCGGCCGAGGGCACGCCUGCCUGGGUGUCGUGAAUCCCCUUGCCCUCGGGCACCCGCACGAGCAUCGUCGCGGAGACGCCAGGGCGCAGAGUUUGGUCUCCCGCCCGACCGUCGUGCGCGGCACGCCGAGGUGCGCGGUUGGCCGAAAAUCGAGCGUUGCGAGUCGGGGGCUACACGGCGUUAGGUGGAUCGAACGCGAUUGGCUCCGCCGUGCUCCCGACAUAUGCUGCUGGCUCCGGAGUAGGACUAUUCCCGAGUGCGAUCCCAGGUCAGGCGGGGCUACCCGCUGAGUUUAAGCAUAUCAAUAAGCGGAGGAAAAGAAACUAACGAGGAUUCCCUUAGUAGCGGCGAGCGAACCGGGACGAGCCCAGCAUGAAAAUUGUCCGUCUUCGGCGGGCGAAUUGUAGUCUGGAGAAGCGUCCUCAGUGACGGACCGGGCCCAAGUUCACUGGAAGGUGGCGCCGGAGAGGGUGAGAGCCCCGUCGUGCCCGGACCCUGUCGCACCACGAGGC
rnacentral:rRNA from 1 species